UACGUAGGGGGCAAGCGUUGUCCGGAAUCAUUGGGCGUAAAGAGCGUGUAGGCGGCCCGGUAAGUCCGCUGUGAAAGUCCAGGGCUCAACCCUGGGAUGCCGGUGGAUACUGUCGGGCUCGAGUCCGGAAGAGGAGUGUGGAAUUCCUGGUGUAGCGGUGAAAUGCGCAGAUAUCUGGAGGAAUACCGGUGGCGAAGGCGGCAUCCUGGACCGGCAUUGACGCUGAGGAGCGAAAGCCAGGGGAGCAAACGGG
rnacentral:rRNA from 1 species